UCUUCCUUAAAUUAACUCUAUACGCUAAUUGUGAAAAUACCCUCAAAUUGACUCUAUAAGUCAAUUUGAAACGUCCAUUCAAAAAACAGGCCUGGUGACUUGCCUGCCUGGUCGCAACCACGCAACCCAUCAUUUACCGCAAUCUACUAUCCCGCGAAGUUUUGGAUAUCCUCAAUCGCUUAUUGUAAAGUGUAUGCUCUUCUGAUUGAAUUUUUUUUUUAAAUUCAAUUUAAACUUUAAUAUUAAGUUGCGUGGUUCGCAUUAUUGCUGAAAUGGAAGAAAACAAUGGUAGUGGUUUUGAUGUACUAGAAUUAGAUGAUACAGAAUAUGUUGAUGUAUCUUCCAAAAAAUUUACAACCUCUCGAAAGAAAAUAUGUAGUAAUUGCUCUACUGCGGUGGGCAAUGCAUGUAAGC